UACGGGGGGAGCAAGCGUUGUUCGGAUUUACUGGGCGUAAAGGGCGCGUAGGCGGCCACCGCAAGUCGACUGUGAAAUCUCCGGGCUUAACCCGGAAAGGUCAGCCGAUACUGCGGGGCUAGAGUGCAGAAGGGGCAACUGGAAUUCUCGGUGUAGCGGUGAAAUGCGUAGAUAUCGAGAGGAACCCCUGCGGCGAAGGCGGGUUGCUGGGCUGACACUGACGCUGAUGCGCGAAAGCUAGGGGAGCGAACGGG
rnacentral:rRNA from 1 species